CGAUCGAUCGCGGGAGCGAUCGAUUCCGACCGCGCUCGUCGCUCCACCUAUUCCCUUUCCCUUUCUAGCCUUUUUCCUUUUCUGGAAAAGCCCAGCCGUGCGCAAUUCCCUUUUCCUUUUCCAUCCCCUCCUCCUCCGCUGCAGCUGCCCUGCUGCUUCCCCUCCCCCUCCUCGCCGAGGCGCCUCACGAGCGCUGUGCCCGCACGAGCGCCGCGAGGGAGGUCGCUAGUACGACGAGGCGUCGCGCCAGCACUAGCACCGCGAGGUCAAAGGGCAGCAACAGGCAAUACGGCGAGGCGCAGCAACCGCACGGGCUCCGCGAGUUCCAGGGCCGGAAGCGGCCAAUACGGCAAGGCGGUGCCUGUCUGGCGGCCGUACGGCCUCCGCCGCGUGCGCGACCUUGCUCCUGCGCCUCCUACCCGGGCUGGACCUCCCCCCGUGCGUCGUCCCCACCCGCAUCACCAAGCUUCCCAACGGCGUCCGCGACUCCGCGUCGCCUCCGAGGAUGUCCAGGGAGCAGCACAGGGAUGGCGAAUUUGGCCGCUCUGCUCUGAUGAUGCCGUUAGAGCACAACUUGCUCGUUCUCAGCAUGAGGAAGAAGAUGAUUUAAAUGUUUUGGAAGGACUAAUCCAGUGAGGAUGGUGGACAAGAAAAUAUAGAAGGAAUGUGUAUGUCAAAACUGAAGAAAAGCAGACCACCUUGGUGGCUCUGUUCUCACAAAAGAAGAUUGUUUACUGUUUCACACAAAAUCGGAUUUUUGCCAGCAACUCAUCCACCUUGGUCUCAUCUUUCGUUGACGACCAAGCAUCACGUAGCAGUAUCUCUGCGAAAAUCCAUAGAAGUAUCGGAACCGGCUGUGGAUAUGGGAAAAAGAAAAUCCCUAAAAUGCAUCUCUGAAACAAUGGCAUUUUUUCAGUGAAUGAACUAAGGAUAGCAGGUGCCACUGUUCCAGAUUGUACUAAUUCUCUGAAAAUUGAUUUGUUUUUCUGUAGCAAGUUGUCGUAUGAAUUUCAAAAAGGAACUAUUCUCUGAAAAUUGUUUCGUAUUUCUGUAGCAAUUUAUUGUAUGGAUUCUGAACACUGUUCAAGGAAAUCAGCAGCUGCCAUUGUUCGGAGAAUGAGCUAAUUCUCUGAAAAUCGUUUUGUUUUUCUGUAGCAAGUUAAUGUAUGAAAUCUGAAUUUGUUCAAAGAAAUCAGCAGCUGCCCUUAUUUUACAUCAGUUUACCCCCUCUUAGUAGAAAGGAACAACUCAUUUCUCUCGCUACUCCUAAUUUUGUGUUGUGCUUUUGUGUAGGAGGAGGAAUUGAUUCUCAGACCACAAAAACAACAGAACAACAGGGAUGAUAUUCAGGUUUACAUAUCUCCAUAGGGAAUCGGAACCGGCUGUGGAUGUGGGAAAAAGAAAAUCCCUAAAUGCAUCUCUGAAACAAUGGCAUUUUUUCAGUGAAUGAACUAAGACUAGCAGUUCAUUUUUAUUCUGUUGGGGGAAUCUAUUUUGGACGAAAUUCUGAACACUUUUCAAUGUGAUAGCAGCUGCCACUAUCUCAAGAAUGAGGAGAAAUUGAUUCUCAGAUCACAAAGAACCACAUAGCAGCAAGGGUGAUAUUCAGGUUGACAUAUCUCCAUAGACAAUCUAACCUGUACAGGGAUGAGUAAGAUAUGAAAAACUUCAAUUGAAAGCACCGCAAAGCCCAAGAAUAGUACAAUGGGCUCGACAUUGGUUGAACAUAGGGUUCUUGCAUGCAAGUGUAUGGCCGGGUAAAUAAGUACGUGAUUAAUAUGUUGGGAAAAGCAGUAAUGGUCGAGCAAAAUGAAUAGGAUAGACACAAUCUUCUCCCACCAAGUUACUGGUCAAGAUACUAUAUCGAAUGCGACAUUGCUAAAUUAUUCCAAAAGGCAUUUGAAACUCCAAUGGCGUUAUCUGUUCACCUGAGGGAGAGAAUGAUAGGAUUCCAGCUUGAUCGAAUUCACAUGGUGUUUUUACCUUUAAGCUCAUACGGUUUCUGUACACAGUUGUUGCUAACUUUAGGAAAAAAUGUUCGAAGUCCUCUGCCCAAACAACAGAACCGACUUGAUUGCUGACGAAGCUCAGCUUGUAAUCAAGAAUUUCAAAGCUUCUUUCAGGCUGGCAUACAACAGAUCACAAAUAAAUGUGACUGACAUGGGCGUGUCUUUCUGGAGUGUGUGCUCUUCAAAAUAAAGAGAGCAUGCAAAGAGCCUGCGCGAGAGUCUAACUUACUACAUGGUCGCUCACCCUUGCAAUGAAAACCUGAUGCCAGAAACCAAACAAAUCUUAAGAAAAUAUGGUGUUCCAUUCGACUACUCGCUACGUGUGACUAAACGAAAAUUUUAUUUCAUUUCCUCUGUCUUUUUUGCAAACAGAUUUAUUUCUCUUUACAGUUUUUCCAAGGUUGUAUGUAUUCCCCUGUGAUUUCUAACCUUUUCUUUUUCUUUUCCCAUGAACAUAAAUCUCACAUACUCCAGGGUAUUCUCCAUGGG